CGACUUGAAAAUCUCAUUUA
rnacentral:snRNA from 1 species